GGUUCUGUAGGGUUUUCAAAGCUGGGAUCUCUUGGAAGCAGAUGGCCAAACCUGUCUUCCAGGGCACCGAUAGGUUGCCUAAGGAUUUGGAGCAUGCUGGGACCAUAAUGACACCAGGAGAGACUUGCCCCUUCACUGGAGGGCUUCCCCUGGAGCCCACGAGUGGUCCUUCCCCAGCUGUCGGAAGACACAUGUUCCUGCGACAGAGAAGAGCAUCGGUCUCCAGCUCUGUUUACCAGAGAGAUGUGUUUCUCUGCCUGAU